ACAGAAGUCUAUGGAGACGAUAUUAUUGUUAUUAUUAUUAUUGUAAUAUGUAGUGUUGCCGUCACGAAGGCUAGAUAGAAGGAGGACGAUCGGGAUAGGGUUUUCAGCUGUUAUAGCGUCCCCGUAUCCGUGUAAAGAUUUUAGUUUAUAUUUGGUCACCAGAUAGCAGUGGUGUUGUGGAGAUCCGCUUGAGGUUUCUAAUGCGCAUGACCACACAUGACUAUGUAGUAUUGUUUUUUCAUUAAAAGUGAUAAAUUAAAAAAUUAUUUAGUGUAUAUUAUUUGUUUUUUUACGUUAUAAAAUUACAUUUUGAUUAAAAAAUGGUGAAAACUUGUUCAGUGCUUAGUUGUGAAAGUGGGAGAAAAAAUGCGCGUAAAAAAAAUAAUGAUUGCAAUCUGCGUCAGAUUUCUUUAUUCAAAAUUCCAAAGGAUCCUGAAAAAUUAAGGAAAUGGAGCUCAGGGUUAAAUCAAGACUUAACUGCCAAUAAGUUUAUUUGUGAAUUACAUUUUUCAAAUGAUGAUAUUAUUAAAAGAGAUACCGUAGAAUUAUUUAAUAGUGAUAUUUUUGUAUCUGACCGAAAAAGUAUACAUUAAAACCAAAUGCAAUUCCAACAAUAAUUAAAAAUAAUACGUCUUUAGAACGCAGUGAUUUACCGUCGAAUCCUAAUAAUAAUGUUUCAACGCUUGAAAAUUCACCUCCAAGGACUUCUAAAGAUGAAACUCUUGUUGGUUCUCUAGAUUUUCAUGUAGAAGUGAGUCACCAAGAUACUUCCGCCAGUACUCCUAAUCUUAAUUACGAGCUUCCACCCGAUUCUCUAAGUGAAAAUUUAAGUACAGAAGAUACUUUAAUAAAAUUAACUAUUAUGGAAUUAAUCGAAAUUUUAAGAACUAAAAUGUUACCUGAAAAAUGGAGCUGGGCCAGUGACGUAAAGGAUU